UACGGAGGAUCCAAGCGUUAUCCGGAUUCAUUGGGUUUAAAGGGUGCGUAGGCGGAUUUGUAAGUCAGUGGUGAAAUCCUGCAGCUUAACUGUAGAACUGCCAUUGAUACUGCAAGUCUUGAGUGUGUUUGAAGUGGGCGGAAUGUGUCAUGUAGCGGUGAAAUGCUUAGAUAUGACACAGAACACCGAUUGCGUAGGCAGCUCACUAAACCACAACUGACGCUGAGGCACGACAGCGUGGGGAUCAAACAGG
rnacentral:rRNA from 1 species